rnacentral:lncRNA from 1 species
AGGAGGGGAGUUUGCAGGUGGGAGCUGCCUGAAUGCGCUGCUCUGAGCCGCCUGAAGGCUGAUGUGCUGCUCUGUGAGGCUGGAAUCCCCUUAUUUUUUGCUAGAAUCCCCUUAUUUUUUGCUAGAAUCCCCUUAUUUUUUGCUAGAACCACCUUAUUUUGUGUUAGAAUCCCCUUAUUUUGUGCCGGAAUCCCUUAUUUUGUGCCGGAAUCCCUUAUUUUGUGCCGGAAUCCCUUAUUUUGUGCUGGAAUCCCUUAUUUUGAGCCAGAAUCCCUUAUUUUGAGCCAGAAUCACCUUAUUUUGUGCCAGAAUCCCUUAUUUUGUGCCAGAAUCACCUUAUUUUGUGCUAGAACCACCUUAUUUUUUGCUAGAAUCCCCUCAUUUUGUGCCGGAAUCCCUUAUUUUGUGUUAGAACCACCUUAUUUUGUGCCGGAAUCCCUUAUUUUGUGCCAGAAUCCCUUAUUUUGUGCCAGAAUCCCUUAUUUUGUGCUAGAACCACCUUAUUUUGUGCCAGCAUCCCCUCAUUUUGUGCCAGAAUCCCCUCAUUUUCUGUUAGAACCACCUUAUUUUGUGCCGGAAUCCCUUACUUUGUGCUAGAACCACCUAACUUUGUGCCAGAAUCCCCUCAUUUUGUGUUAGAACCACAUAAUUUUGUUCCGGAAUCCCUUAUUUUGUGCCAGAAUCCCCUUAUUUUGUUCCAGAAUCCCUUAUUUUGUGCCGGAAUCCCCUCAUUUUGUGCUAGAACCACCUCAUUUUGUGCCGGAAUCCCCUCUUUUUGUGCCAGAAUCCCCAUAUUUUGUGUUAGAACCACCUCAUUUUGUGCUAGAAUACCCCCAUUUUGUGCCAGAACCACCUCAACCAGCGACACCUGGGCCAGUGACACCUCACCCCCCUCAUCCACAGCUCCCUGCCUGCCUCCCCCUGACAUCCCAACGUGUUUUUUUUCCAGGCCCUGGAGCUGGCGGAGCACUUCAGCCCCGAAGAUAUCCGCAAGAUCACCCUGGCCCUGGCCUACCAGAACCGCCGCUGCGUGCCCCUGCUGCGUGCCCUGUCCUACCACCUCCUGCAGAAACACACCGAGCUCGACCUCGCCACCCUGACCGACCUGAUUUUUGCUUAUGGAAAACUGAAUUUCCACCAGCCCCAGGUCUUCCAGAAGCUCGCCACCGACCUGCAGCCCCACGUGGCCAGCAUGACGCCGGGCGAGGUGACGCGCUGCAUCAGGUCCUUCGCCCUCCUCAAGUGGCUCAGCCUCCCCCUCUUCGAGGCCAUCGCGCAGUACGCCCUGGACAACGCCAAGCAGCUCUCGGUCGCCCACCUGUGCAGCAUCAUCCUCUCCUUCGCCCGCCUCAACUUCCAGCCCAGCGGCAGCGAGGAUUUCUUUAACAUG